rnacentral:sRNA from 1 species
AAAUGUAAGAAAAAGCCAAAAAAUAUCUACAAAAAAAAGUUUCAACACUUAAAAAUUAUUUGGAAAAGUUCCAAAACUGUCCAACGAUGCCAUCGUCGGCCAAAAAGGCCACCUCGAUAUAUGUAAAGGCCUUUAAACACACCAAAAAAUCAAAACUCAACAACAUAUUUGAUCCAAAACUUACUAAUCAUUUCAAAUGGAAGCUAUACAAAUUGCUGAUUAAAAAACUAAAAAAAAUAUUUUAGGAAGCUAGAAGCUUGCCCAAGCAGCACCAAAUUGCACAUCCCACAUACACCCAUCACCAAAUUGUGAAGUAAAGUGAACAUCAGCUCCUGAAACCACAAUCCGAAAUUACAGACGACAGCAGCAGAAACAGGAAAGGAGGGCGGAGGGGGGCCCUCCCACAUGCUGCAACAUUGCCGAGCAUGGGAUGGCCCCCAGCACUGGGACUGCGAGGGAUUUGUAACCAUAGUUACCGCAAGUACACAAUGCACUCGCCUCAAAAAAGCUACAAUGUUAUUCCUUCCCGCUUCAUUCAUUCAAAUCAAAUUAAUCUACCUUAGUGUGUGUCUAUCUAGGAUUCUAUGGAAGUUAUCUUUAUAUGUGUGAGGUAAUGCUAGUUUUACAAGUUUCAGUCCCAUAUCAAAUGCAUUUCUGCUAGGCAUAGGUCAUACGAGUAUAUACAUACUUAUGAUAGUAUAUAUAUUUAAUUGCGUUUUGCAAAAGCUCUGCUGAAUGUUGAUAUCCGAUGUUGUUUAUCUGAUUACCACUAUUACAUUUACAAAUAGCCAACAGGUGGGCACAUUUAGCACAUAUAUUAUUUAUGCCACAAUUAAGGAACUUAAUGCCUUCUUCCCUUAUUUUCAAUAUUGAUUUUGCUUAAAGUAUUUGCACUGCUGUUUGUAUCCGAGUAUACCCAAGCAUUUAAGCCAUCAAUUACAUAAACAUAAACACCAAAGCUUAUGACUUAUGCAAUUAUAUUAAGCACAUAUUCAUGCAUGUUUUUUCUACCUUUCUUUAUCUACCUUGAAUACUAUAUAUUCAUAUUAUUUGGUUAUUUACUUAAAGCUUAUUCCCUCGCUUCAAAAAACAUCUAGUAAAUAUCUAUAUAUCUACACCUUCAAGAGCAUAUAUAUUUACCUUAUCUGUUAUAAGUAUUUUUUGAAGUACUUAUUUGAAAUACGUUAAUCUACGAGUACCUAAACUAGUCCUUUCUAGAGAUGUUCUCGACAUUUUGUACAUACCGACACAUAAGGGUGCAUUUUACGCUUAAUAUAGUAUACGACAGACCCUCGUAUUACACAUAUGUACGUAUUACACAUUACUCAUAAGCAUGUAUCUCUAUAUCUCGAUUUAAGAGCCAAUAAGUAUGAUGAAUUAAUUCAGUUUGGUUUACAAAAUUAAGUCUUUCCGAAAUUCAACUAUUCAGCGAGGAUAAUAUCACAGAAUUAUCACAGAAUCAUCACAGAAUUUCCUCUAAAUAUAAGUCUUUCUAUAAUUCCAUUAUCCUGCAGAGAUAAUAUCAUUUAGCAAACGUGGAGGUUUUCUUUUUUGGCUUGAUUGUGAGGAUUUACGGAAUGCAAAGUGCGAUGCCUUUAAAGGCACUUCAGUUUGAAUUAGGAGUAGCCCUGCGAGUGUUGAUUGGAUGGGAUGAUUCGAGUAUUACUCAAGGAGGAUAAUUCCCAAAAUUAAAGACACAUUCCAUGCCAUGAACUUAAAGUAAAGCAUAUUCAUCUGAAGCGGGAUUAUGUGACAUUAAUCACUGAAUUCAAUUUUGUUUAUUACAAAAACUUAAAUAUUCAAUUCUUUGACUAAUUUUGCGGACAAUUUGAUCCCUUAUAUACAUAUGUACAUACAUACAUGGAGGGCAUUUCUGAUAAAUUGAUGAAUAGGCCGAAAAUGAGUUCUUCAUUUUAGUUCAACAUCAAACGAUCGUGGUGUAUUUGUGCGAAAGGGGUGGCCAAAAAUAGUGCUGGAUUCUCAUGCUCCUCGAUAAGGUCAAAUGUCCCCAACAUGGCGAUGGCCACAAAAGCGAGUUCCGUAUAACCACCCCCCACCAUCCGCCUAUAAACGAAGAUUAUUUCCUCCUUUAUGUGAUGUAUUAAGCGCUCCACCAGGAAGUGGGAAGCGCCCGUGUACAAAAUGCGUAAUGCGGCAAGGGUUAGUGCGAGAGCCAUUCUCGAGAGCAGAGCUUGAGCUGACUUUUUGUCUGUGGUUUCUCGGUGCUUUGAUUUAUUUUUGAUACUUGCUUCAAGUAGUGCCGCUUGAGUGCCGGAAAGUUGUGUGUACGUUCCCAAAAAAUGAUUCCGAAUAGUGUUGCGAGCUGCUCAAAUGGUUUGACAAUGAAUGCCCAGAUCUUACUUUAAAUAUUGCACGAUUUGUAUAUAUUUUAUCUUGGGAGCAUAUGUAGGUCUUGGGGCAGUUGGUUUUUGAGGGACAAUGACAGAUAGUGUUGGGGUUUCAGAUGGAGAGUAGAAUGGCACCGUUCAGCUAAAGUAAAGGCUUUCGUGCGACGGCUGCCAUUUUUCUCUCCGUCUCUGACUUCAACGCCUAUCUCUGUUAGUGUUCCCCAGUCUCCAACUGCCUGCAGGACUUGUGGAUCUGUUCCCUCUUUUUUACUGGCAUCAAAUAAAUUUUCCCUGAUCGAAAAUUGGGCUCAAAAAUUUUUAGUUCAGAGGUAAGCGAGCCUUUUUCCAUACAACUCGAAUAUGCUAAACUUUGUUUUAAAGCACUUUGCAGUUCUGAAAAGCUUGUGAAUGCAACUAUCGGUCGGUUUAAAAAACUUUAUGGCUCCAACUUACCGUCUGGGAAAUAUUCAGAUUUCAAGUGCAGACAGCAAGUUUUAGCUAUAAGGUUUUUGAAGCCCAUCGAUAGCUGCAUUUGUUUGCCUUUCAGAACUGCAAGGUCCUUCAAAACAAAGUAUAGCAUACUAGAGUUGUAUGGAAAAAGGUAAGCUUAACUCUGAUGGUAAUUCUCGAAAGAAACCCCUUAACUAUAUACAAAAAAUACUUCAAACUUUACGUAUUCAUUGGUUUUUGGUUGGAGCAUGAGUCAUGUAGCCGUCUGGAUUCUGAUGAACAUUCACAGUUAGUAUUGGAGUUAGAGAUGGAGAGAAAAAUCCCUGCACGUAGCCAAAGAAAUUGCUUUCGUUAUCGACUGGUAUUUUACUCUCCGCAUCUAACCCCAACACUACCUGUCACUGUUCCUCUGAAUCUAGGCGUCUCCAGGACUAAUGCUCCAAUCAAAUUUGUCCAUUAGGGUUGCGCUUACUUAUAAAACAUUAAUUUUCAAAGGUCUCAGGUUGUACAAAAAGUUUGUGAAAACGGGAUCGACAAUUGGUUCGCUUUCAAAAGUAAGUCGGAAAUUUUUUGGUGAAAGUGAAAGCCGGACCCUGCCUGAUUGCAUACUGAUUGAUUGAGACUUAAGUCAUGGGAACAGAUUCUGGGCAGCACUGGCAGAUAGUGUUCGAGUUUGAGGUGGAAAUCAGGGCUCCACCAUUCGACAAAAGCGUGAACGCUUUCGUUGUUUGAUGGAACUUUACUUUCCACCUUUGACUUGAUCACUAACUGUGCGUGUUGUUCAGAAUUCGGACUCCUUUAAGGAUUUUUGCUCCCAAUCAGUAUACGUAUUGGCAUUGAUGUUGGUAUUGGUUGGAGCAUAAGUCGAUGGGGGUAUUAGAGUCCGACGAGCAAUCGUAUUCAAUGAUGGAUGUAGGUGUAGAGAGAAAGGGCGCACCAGUCAAAAAAAGAGAUUGGCUUUCGUUGUCUGCUGUAACUUUACUCUCUGCCUCUAUUUUCAUGACUGACUAUGAGUGCUUCUCAGACUCCAACAGUCCUGCGUCUUAUUCUCCCACCAAUACCCGGCUUUUGAUCGUGCUCUGGUAUACAUACAUUGGAUGGUUUUCAAAACCACAGACAGACCUCCUCCGAGUAAGGGCUAUGGGUUUAGUUUAUAUAUAUCGUACAAUCCUUCGUUUAUUCAUAUAGCAUCUGGGCUUCAAUAUUCUACGCUCUUCUCUUCAAAUUUUUUUCGUAGAACUUUGUUUGUUUCCUAAGAAGUUAGUCGGCCGUCAAGUACUACGGAAAGUCUACUAAAGUCGUCAGAUGGGGACCAAAUUGAAGGAAAACCUCUACGUUUUGCUUAAUCUUAUCUUCAAUUAUAGAGAUUCUAUUAUAUUCUAUUAUUCUAAUCUAUUCUAUACUCUAUUAUCUCCUUGCAAUCUUGGAUAAAAGGUUUUUUUUUUGUGGAAAGUGACAACUAGGCGCAGCUUGGUGUUUAUAUUUUAUAUAAAGUAUAUACAUAUUGUAAAUUCAACUUACAAAUGCAUCUAGAUAAGCUUACAACAGAGGCAAUAUUCAAGCUCUAUAGCUAUAUUAAGUUUAGAAGUUAUGUGAAGUUGGGAAAGCGUAUACCAUCCUGGAUAAAUAUCGCUUCCCAUCGAGUACCCACAUGACUUGCUCAAACCAUUAACGUGGGAAGGACACCUUAUAGUUACAAAAGUAAGCUUCUUAAAAAAAAGUUGCUAGAGAAAGCAUUAAUUUUUUGGUUCAUUCAAUGCAUAGAUUUUAUUUAAUACAAGGUGAAGGGUAAUGAUAGAUAAGUUGGCGAUCGGUGUGGAUAUAAAUGCCCUGCGACUGCAGCAGAAUGAUACAACAAAAGAAUGCUCUUGUGAGAGGCAGUUCUCCUUGGCAGACAUACAUACAUAUAUAGCUCAUAAUUCGUGGCUCUGAAUAUUAUUAAAUCGUUCUUUUGGGACCCGACUCGACCCCUGUAAAAUGUAUAUGUAUUUAGAUUGUAGUAAAAUGUGAAAUACACCUGAUGUCAAGUAUACAGUAAGGACCAGUACCAUUACUACAUAUGUAUGUAUAUGUACGGAAUAUACCGGUAUGUCAGUUCCCUUGUGCGCUGAUUCAAGUUUUCCGAAGUCAUUUAAGACCAAUAGUUAUAUAAUCUAUAACCUAAUAGCCAUACGAUAAGUACCUUAGUAUGUAAAUUUGAUUGUGAAUGUAAGAUUAAAGGUGAAAAGAAAAGGCUAUACUUACAAACCAGUAUACCUAUUAAAAAAUAUAUA